UGCCAGCCGCCGCGGUAAAACGGAGGGGGCUAGCGUUGUUCGGAUUUACUGGGCGUAAAGGGCGCGUAGGCGGCCAUGUGUGUCAGGGGUGAAAUCCCGGGGCUUAACCCCGGAAUUGCUCUUGAAACUGCAUGGCUUGAGUAUUGGAGAGGCAAGUGGAAUUCCGAGUGUAGCAGUGAAAUGCGUAGAUAUUCGGAGGAACAUCGGUGGCGAAGGCGACUUGCUGGCCAAUUAUUGACGCUGAGGUGCGAAAGCGUGGGGAGCAAACAGGAUUAGAUA
rnacentral:rRNA from 1 species